UACGUAGGGUGCGAGCGUUGUCCGGAAUUAUUGGGCGUAAAGAGCUCGUAGGCGGUGUGUCGCGUCGGUCGUGAAAACUUGGGGCUUAACCCUGAGCUUGCGGUCGAUACGGGCAUCACUGGAGUUCGGCAGGGGAGACUGGAAUUCCUGGUGUAGCGGUGAAAUGCGCAGAUAUCAGGAGGAACACCGGUGGCGAAGGCGGGUCUCUGGGACGGUACUGACGCUGAGACGCGAAAGCGUGGGGAGCAAACAGG
rnacentral:rRNA from 1 species